GUGGGAGGGGGCUUGCUCCCGAUAGCGGUGGAUCAGUCAGCAGAUACAGUGACUGACACCCAGCAAUCGGGGGCAAGCCCCCUCCCAC
rnacentral:misc_RNA from 1 species